rnacentral:rRNA from 1 species
GACGAAUGCUGGCGGCGUGCCUAAUACAUGCAAGUAGAACGCUGAAGCUUGGUGCUUGCACCGAGCGGAUGAGUUGCGAACGGGUGAGUAACGCGUAGGUAACCUGCCUGGUAGCGGGGGAUAACUAUUGGAAACGAUAGCUAAUACCGCAUAAGAGUAGAUGUUGCAUGACAUUUGCUUAAAAGGUGCAAUUGCAUCACUACCAGAUGGACCUGCGUUGUAUUAGCUAGUUGGUGAGGUAACGGCUCACCAAGGCAACGAUACAUAGCCGACCUGAGAGGGUGAUCGGCCACACUGGGACUGAGACACGGCCCAGACUCCUACGGGAGGCAGCAGUAGGGAAUCUUCGGCAAUGGACGGAAGUCUGACCGAGCAACGCCGCGUGAGUGAAGAAGGUUUUCGGAUCGUAAAGCUCUGUUGUAAGAGAAGAACGAGUGUGAGAGUGGAAAGUUCACACUGUGACGGUAUCUUACCAGAAAGGGACGGCUAACUACGU